UACGGGGGGGGCAAGCGUUGUUCGGAAUUACUGGGCGGAAAGGGCUUGUAGGUGGCCAACUAAGUCAGACGUGAAAUCCCUCGGCUUAACCGGGGAACUGCGUCUGAUACUGGAUGGCUGGAGUGUGGGAGAGGGAUGCGGAAUUCCAGGUGUAGCGGUGAAAUGCGUAGAUAUCUGGAGGAACACCGGUGGCGAAGGCGGCAUCCUGGACCAUUACUGACACUGAAAAGCGAAAGCCAGGGGAGCAAACGGG
rnacentral:rRNA from 1 species